GUCUGUUUGAAGGUAUAGAGAGUCUAACCUGCCCAUUGACAAAUAUUGAGUUAAAAGGCCGCGGUAUUUUAACCGUGCAAAGGUAGCAUAAUCAUUAGGUUUUUAAUUGAAAUCUUGUAUGAAGGGUUGAACAAGAGAAAUACUGUCUUUAUAUUAGAAUUAAAAUUUAACUUUUAAGUGAAAAGGCUUAAAUAAUUUAAAGGGACGAUAAGACCCUAUAAAACUUUACAUUCUAAUUAUAUUAAUUAAAAUUUAAAAAUAAAAAUUUGUUUGAUAGUUUGUUUUGUUGGGGUGACAUAAAUAAAAUUUUUAUUAACUGUUUAUUAGUUAAAAUCAAUUGUUAAGUGAGUUGUAUAAGAUCCUUUAUUAAGAUUUGAAGAUUAAGUUACUUUAGGGAUAACAGCGUUAUUUUCUUUGAGAGUUCUUAUCGAAAAGAAAUUUACGACCUCGAUGUUGAAUUAAAAUAUCUAUAUGAUGUAGAGGUUAUAUAAGAGGGUCUGUUCGACCUUUAAAAUUUUACAUGAUUUGAGUUCAAACCGGUGUGAG
rnacentral:rRNA from 1 species